AUGCUCAAGAAACUCCUGUGGAUCAGCAAGAAAAAGGCCAGAAAUCCAACGGAAAAACGUUCUUCGCCGAGAGUCGCCGUGGUUUCCUGCUUCAACAGUGCUUGGACGGAACUCGGCGCUCGUCCCCAACCCCGGCCGGCUGCCCACAGCCAGCCCUCUGUCACCUCCACACCACGCGCCCUCGGACCGCCCCAAGGCCCCCGCCGCCUCUCCUCAGCCGCCGCCGUAACGCGUCUCCUUCGCAGGUGCGCGAGGGCUACCAUCAGGACUCAGAGGCCGCCAUCAACUGCCAGAUCAACGCGGAGCUCUACGCCUCCUAUGUUCACCUGUCCAUGUCUUACUACUUUGACCGCGAUGAUGUGGCUUUGAAGAACUUUGCCAAGUACUUUCUUCACCAAUCUCAGAAGGAGAGGGAACAUGCCGAGAAACUGAUGAAGCUGCAGAACCGACGAGGUGGCCGCUCCUUCCUUCAGAACCAGACCAUGAUGACUGGGAGAGCAGGCUGGAUGCAAUGGAGUGUGCAUUACCUUAGAAAAAAAUGUGAACCCGUCACUACUGGAACUGCACAAACUGGCCACUGACAAAAAUGACCCCCGUUUGUGUGACUUCAUUGAGACACAUUACCUGCAUGAGCAGGUGAAAUCCAUCAGAGAAUUGGGUGACCACGUGACCAACUUGUGCAAGAUGGGAGCACCCCAAUCUGGCUUGGCAGAAUAUCUCUUUGACAAGCACACCCUGGGAGACGAUGAUAAUGAAAGUUAAGCCUUAGGCUAAUUUCCCUAUAGCUACAGGGUAACUUCCCUGGUCACCAAGGCAGUACAUGCAUAUUGGGGUUUCCUUUACCUUUUCUAUAAGUUGUACCAAAACAUCCACUUAAGUUCUUUGUACCAUUCCUUCAAAUAAUCCCAGCUACUCAGGAGGCUGAAGCAGGAGAAUUGCCUGAACCCAGGAGGCGGAGGUUGCGGUGAGCCGAAAUCGCGCCAUUGCACUCCAGCUUGGGUAACAAGAGCGAAACGAAAAAAAAAAAAAGAAAAAAAAGAAAGAAAUUUGGUACCCCCCCAAAAAAACAAAAACAUGAUAUCAUUUGGUGUCACCUCAAUUAACAAAAGUUAGGCAAAUCAGAUAAUACCUGCCAAGUGUUGGAAAGGAUGUGGGGAAAAGGGAACAACUGGUGGGGUUAUAAACUUGUAGAGCUAUUUUGGAAGCCACCUGACUAUUUUAUGAAUUUGAAUAUGCAUCUAGCCAAUGAGCCAGCAAUCUCAUGUUCCCAGAGGAACAUAAACAAGUGCAUUCAUCAGAGGAUUGUAUAUGAAGGCAGCCUAGGGGUUCAUUGCUAGAGAAAUGGGGAAGCAAAAUGUGUAAAUGCAUACUUUGCCGUACUGUGCAGCAGUCAGCCACAGUGAACUAAAGGUACUUAGAAUCCCACAACAAUCUUAAAAACAGGUGUCGCGUAAAAAAGAAAUACAGUAAGAUCUAGAAUAUAACACUAUUUAUGUAGGCUAAAGUUAUACAUACCCAUAAGAGCACUGUAUAUCUUUUAGGAAUGCAGUAAACAUAGUGAGUCUCUUACAGGAUAGGGAGAAAGAUGAAUAAGUAGGGCAUGACUAGGGGGAAAAAAUGAAAGAGAUCUCCUUACCAGAGAUGAAAAAUGAUAUACUUGAACUGAAGAGAUUUCUUCAACUCUCUAUACUGAAGGGAAGGAAAAUUGACCUUAAAAGUUUCACAUAGAUGGUAAAUAUAAGGAUAGCAGGAGAGUCCCCUUAAUGACUGAAAUAGUUGGUGCCUAUAUAAAAUUUGGGUAGCCGUUUCAAAGCAAGGACUACAAAGAUGCUUUAGGCAUCUUCGGGGAAUUUCAAGGUGGCACAGGAAAUUACAUGGAUGAGAUAACAGGUAAAGUCUUAGGCUCCCAGAGGACAGGCUGGGGCAUUGUGGGGCUGGAAUUACAGGGCAGACUCACACUGAAAGGAAGCAGAAGGCAGUGGAUCCUGUCCAGUCCUGGGGAAAGUGUCCCAUGAUGGUUAAACCUCUUGGCUAGAAUGACCCUACCCGGAGAGGGGACCGGGAGCAGGGUUUGUUUGAUCAAAGGAGUCUCUGGGGAGACUUCACACUGAGGGGCACCAAAGGCAGUAUAUGGAGAAACAUUCAAGGAGAACAAACAUUUGGCCCAAAGGCAAGGAGACAGAAAGAUGCAGGAAGGCACUCUGAUGCAUGUGGUGGGGAAAGAAAAGGAACAAUUAAGAAACAGCUGAAAUUUAUAAAAACAUAUGUGUCCAGGCUGGAUGUGGUGGCUCAUGCCUGUAAUCCCAGCACUGUGGGAGGCCAAGGUGGGUGGAUCACCUGAGGUAAGGAGUUCCAGACCCGGUUGACCAACAUGGUGAAACCCCUUCUCUACUAAUUACAAAAAUCAGCCAGGCAUGGUGGCGUAUGCCUGUAAUCCCAGCUACUUAGGAGGCUGAGGCAGGAGAAUCGCUUGAAUGUGGGAGGUGGAAGUUGCAUUGAGCCGAGAUUGCGCUGUUGAACUCCAGCCUGGACAACAGGAGCAAAAUUCCACCUCAAAAAAAAAAAAAAAAAAAAAAAAAAUUAGCUGGGUGUGGUGGUGCAUGACUGUAGUCCCAGCUACUCAGGAGGCUGAGGCAUGAGAAUUGCUUGAACCUGGAGGUGAAGUUUGCAGUGAGUCAAGAUUGAGCCACUGCACUCCAGCCUGGGUGACAGAGUGAGACUCUGUCUCAAAAAAAUAGUAUGUAUCACUAGUAACAAAGCCAAUCCAUGUGUGACCAGUUCUCUCCAAGGUCUAUGCUAAAUUAUAGCAAGAGACCAGGGCAACCCCAAACCAAGUCCUGAUGGCUGAGCACCCUGUAAGGCAGGAGCAGGCAGCUUGGCUUGAGCAGACAUUGGGUGGGAGGUGGGGUGGGGGCUGUUUGAGGCGGGAGGCAGCACAGUGCAGCAAAUGUUUCUUGAGAGGAAGAAGCCUGAUCCAUCACCAUCUGCUUGACUUUGUACCUAUUCCUUUUGAUUCGGCUUUACCUUCAUCUAUCUUGAUCCUUUCCUGGCCAAAUAUCCUCUUGGGCCCAAAUGAACAUUGUACCAGUCUUCUGGGAAGCAAACAUUCUUCCUGCUAUGUAAUUGCUAACAUUCACAUUAGAUGAUGUGCGGUAGCUUGAUCUUCCUUAGCCUACUGCCACUGAGGCAGUAGGUUUUAGGCAGCAUUGUAGGCCUUUUGAUUGAUUUAAGUAUUUAAUUUUCAUCUUCCUUCUUUGAAUCUAUUUGGCCUCUCAAAUGAACUGAGAUUCCUGUUAAAAAAAAGAUUGAUGUUAUUCUUGUCUCCUGUAGAGGAAAUUAAUAAAGUGUUUGUAUCUGUUCAAAAAAACAAUGUUUCUAAACACAAUGUGUGUUAUCCUGGAACAGAAAUAGGACAUAGGCUGGGUAUAGUGGAUCAUGCCUGUAAUCCUAACACUUUGGGAGACCAAGGCAGGUUGAUUACUUGAGGUCAGGAGUUUGAGACCAGGCUAGCCAACAUGGUGAAACCUCAUCUCUACUAAAAAUACAAAAAAUUAGCUGGGCCUGGUGGUGGGUGCCUGUAAUCCCAGCUACCUGAGAGGCUGAGGCAGGAUAAUUUAUUGAACCUGGGAGGCGGAGGUUGCAGUGAGCCCAGAUUAUGUCACUGUCCUCCAGCCCAGGUGACAGAGCAAGACUUUGUCUCAAAAAAAAAAAAAGAAACAGGACAUAAGUGGAAAAUUGAGAAUCUGAAUAAUGUCUGUAGUUUAGUUAAGAAUACUAUACACUGUUAAUUUCUUAGUUUUGACAAAUAUACUACAGUAUGUCGUAUGUUAAUAUUAAGGCAAGCUGAGUGAAAGGUAUACAGUAACUCUCUUUAUCUCUGCAACUUUUCUGUAAACUUAAAAUUAUUCCAAAAGAAAAAAACAGUAAAACCUCCAGCUGAAAGGCGUAUAAAAUAAAUGAAAAUAGGCAAAUAUAUCAAUCAAACAUCUUUUUUUUUAAUUUUUUUUUGCGACAGACUCUCACUCUUUCGCCAGGCUAGAGUGCAGUGGUGCCAUCUCGGCUCACUGCAACCUCUGCCUCCUGGGUUCAAGCAAUUCUCCUGCCUCAGCCUCCCAAGUAGCUGGGACUACAGGUGUGCACCACAACACCCAGCUAAUUUUUGUAAGUUUUUGGUAGAGACGGGGUUUCACCAUGUUGGCCAGGAUGGUGUCCAUCUCUUGACCUCAUGAUCUGCCUGCUUCCACUUCCUAAAGUGCUGGGAUUACAGGCGUGAGCUACCGUGCCCAGCCUCUAUCAGGCAUCUUAUAUAUUAAUAUAAGAUGUGUGUGUACAUAUGUGU